UCAAACAUGAAUAAACUUCUCUAGAUAGGAAUCGUGUACAUUUCUAGUAUAAAUAUAAACGUAGAUUUUUCUGAACUAUCCAUUCUGCUUCCACUUUGUAUUGUGCAAGGAUGUCCAAGAAAAAAUUAUCCAUUGAUGAAAUAAGACAUUAUCUUGAGUGCACAUCGUACUCUGAUUCAGAAAGUGAGGAUUUCGAAUUGGAAAAAGACGAAAAAUAUAUCCAACCCCCUCAAUCAAGUUCUUCUACUUCUGAUGACUAUUCUGAUGCUUUUGACAAGCCUGUCGAAAUGCCAAGAUUCAAUCAAGUGACUCAAUUCCCGUCAUCUAAGAAACAUAAAUUAACCGACUUAUUAGAAGAGUAAAUGUAUGUUGGUAAGGAUAACACAAUCUGGCACAAACAAAUAGGAAAUGGAUAAAUUUCAGCCCGUUUUAGCCAAAAAAACAUUUUGAAAGAAGUCUCAGGUCCAUCAUCAUUACAGAUAAAACAUUAUCAGCUUUUGAACUCUUGAUUGAUAAUUAUAUUAUUGAUGACAUUGUAAAAUGUACAACGGUUGAGGCUCGUUCAAAACUUAAGAAUGAUGUAUGGACAACCAGCAAACGAGAAAUACUCCAACUGAUUGUAAUAAUGUAUGCGAGAGGAAUCUUAGCCAAAGGGCAGCCGACAGAAGUCAUUUGGUCAAGAAAAUUGGGGAUCAAUCUCUUUAGGAAUACUAUCCCUCGCGACAGAUAUAAGGAAUUAUUAAGAUAUGUCCGCUUUGAUAUUCGUUCCACAAGAUCACAAAGACUUCAAAACGACAGGGUUGCCUUGAUUUCAAUGGUAUGGGUUCGAUUUGUCGAAAAUUGUAAGUCAUCAUACAGGUCAGGUGAAAAUAUUACCAUUGAUGAGCAACUAUUCCCAACAAAAGCUAGAUAUCCAUUUACUCAAUAUAUGGCUAAAAAGCCUGAUAAAUUCGGUAUAAAAUUUUGGUUAGCAGUUGAUGCAUCGUCCAAAUACUUGGUAAAUGGAUUUCCUUACUUGGGAAAAGAUAUUCAAAGACCAGGAAAUAAAUCUUUAUAAGAAUAUGUAGUAAUGAAGCUAAUGGAACCAUAUUUGGGGAAUGGGAGGAAUGUUACAACAGAUAAUUUCUUUACGUCAUUGUCUCUUGCAAAUGAAAUUCAGAAAAAUAGGACGACUAUUUUAGGAACUAUAAAUCGUGCUCGCAAAGAAAUACCUCCUGAAAUAAAAGCUACAAAACAAGCACUAUUUUCAAGCUUAAUCUUUGUAAAUAGUGGCAAAACAUUGACUUCUUAUCAAGGGAAAAAAACAAAAAUGUUUUAAUUUUGAGCUCUGCUCACAAAAUUGUUAAAGUUUUAGAUGUACGAAAAAGGUUACCAGAAUCAAUCCAGUAUUAUAAUGAAACUAAGUAUGGAGUUGAUAUUCUAGAUCAAAUGGCAAGACUUUAUUCCACCAAAAUGUCCUCUCGCCGAUGGCCUUUACAAGUUUUUUAUAAUAUUUUGUAUUUUGCUGGUAUAAAUGCUGUUAUCUUGUACAGAGAAGUGACUGGUAAGAAAAUAACUCGUCGCCAGUUUUUGAAUAAUUUGAUUACCGAACUUAUUGGUGAAGAUGAUGAAUUAAAGGAUGAUAUAGAAGAAAAUAAUCAAUUAUUUCAAUCACAAUCAAACUGUUCAACUAAAAAUAGAAGUUGGUGUACAGUCAAUUGUACAAGAAAAUCACGGCGCUUAGCAAGCAAAACCUGUUGUAAAUGUAAGAGAUUCGUAUGCAAGCCUUGUAUUGGUACUGAAAAAACAAUUGUAACUUGUAAAAAAUACUAAUUUCUUUAUAUGUUUUAUUAUAAAAGUUUUUUAUUUUUUUAAAUAAAUAAUAAAUCUUUGGAGAAAAUAAAAAUUAA
rnacentral:lncRNA from 1 species